CUUACACCUAGAAGCAUUUCAUGUGUGGCUACUGUGUCACAUGUGCAUGAGUAGGUGACAAAAAGGAAAGAAGCUAUGUCUACUUAGCCUACCUUUGUUCUGACCUAUGAAUAUCUGAAUGAUUAGAAGGCUAACAUU